GACAGUGUCAGGCGGGGAGUUUGACUGGGGCGGUACAUCUGUUAAAUAAUAACGCAGGUGUCCUAAGGUUAGCUCAGUGAGGACAGAAACCUCACGUAGAGUAAAAGGGCAAAAGCUAACUUGAUCUAUGACCUUCAGUACUGGUAUAGACCGCGAAAGCGUGGCCUAUCGAUCCUUUUGUUGUUCUUAAACGGUUGACAGUUUCAAGCAAGAGGUGUCAGAAAAGUUACCACAGGGAUAACUGGUAGCGCUAAGGCUUAAUGUGGUUGUCGCAAGGCAAUCAAAAUACAGCAUUAAGCGGUGCAGCGUUAUAAACUUUGGUGAUUAGAAGUGUCAAUGUAGUGUAUAUUUAGGCAACUAAAUAUGUGCUGCUUUCGGCCUAGCGUACAAGUCCCAUUGACUUGGGCUUAUUCUUAAUUGAGAUGUCUACGGGUUUGGGGCAACUUGGAUCCGUGGAUGAGCCAUAGAGGGUGAAAGUCCCUUAAUGCGCAGGUAUUGAUGCUACGAACCAGAGCAGUGGCGUUUGGUAAAACAGACGUUGCGAUUAUUAGAGUCGGGUUGCUUGAGAGUGCAACCUAAAGAGCGAGGUAAACUGCUCGUAAGGCUAUGUAAAUACGGCUACGACACCGAUAGCAAACAAGUACCGUGAGGGAAAGUUGCAAAGUACUUUGAAGAGAGAGUUAAACAGGGCGUGAAACCGCUAGCUGGUAAAACCCGUCUUGAAACACGGACCAAGGAGUGUAGGAGGGUUGUGUUGGUAGCGUUGAAGGCUAUGAGGGAGUGAUCCUGGCUGGAGCUGCCAAUAGUACAGAUCUUGGUGGUAGUAGCAAAUACUCAAGUGAGACCCUUGAGGGCCAAUGUGGAGAAGGGUUCCAUGCUAACAGCAAUUGGACAUGGGUCAGUCGGUGAAUUAGGUUAAUAUUCCUAAACCAAGAUGAGGAGAUGGCACGGACCACGGGAAUCCGACUGUCUAAUUAAAACAAAGCAUUGCGAUGGCCUAAGAUUGUGGUGUUGACGCAAUGUGAUUUCUGCCCAGUGCUAUGAAUGUCACAGUGAAGAAAUUCAUCUAAGCGCUAGUAAACGGCGGGAGUAACUAUGACUCUCUUGUGGUAGCCAAAUGCCUCGUCAUCUAAUUAGUGACGCGCAUGAAUGGAUUAACGAGAUUCCCACUGUCCCUAUCUACUACCUAGCGAAACCACAGCCAAGGGAACGGGCUUGGCAAAAUCAGCGGGGAAAGAAGACCCUGUUGAGCUUGACUCUAGUCUGGCUUUACGCGGAGUAUGUAUGUGUAACGCAAGUUAUGUGUAUAUACGUUGCGAGUGGAGCCACGAAGUCGUUUCGUAGAAUAUGAAAUGCAAAUUCAGCUAAGAUCCGCAAAGGUUUUAGCGUAUUUUUGCUUGUUUCACUAAUGUAAGCGUACACUGCAACCAAUUAGACGGCCAAUCGUGGAAGUAGUUUGCUUGUUAACAGGGAAACUUGUUGCUUGUAAACGUCAAAAUUUGUGUAUUUACUGUAGGUAGCUCAGUUGGAAUCUUGUAUUUCAUCGGGGUGUAUGACAUAUUGGUAAAUGCGUGAACUACGAUUGGGUACUGAUUGGAACAAUGAAAAUCGAAUCGCAAGAUUCGUGUAUUCACAGAAAGCAACUAACAUCGUAUUUGAGUACAAUUGCACGCUGUUAGUUAAAGCUUGGUAUUUUUGAAUUCAGGCACGUAUAUUGUCAAUGGGCUUGCUUAUUGAUAUAUGCGCUGUUUCCUGUCUAAUCGGGUAUUAACUUUGCUGGCAGUUUUAGUGUAAUUGCUGCGAUAGCAUUGAAUGCGAUAGUAAGUUAGCCAGUAUUGGCAGUGAGUAGGUCGGCUUUCCACACGCGUUGAAUUAUUGUUUAAUCAGUGAAACGAUUAGUUAUGAUUCAACGCCUAAGAGAAUGGCGAAAGCUAUUUCUGAAUCAAAGGCAGUGUAUACCAAACACAAAAUUCAUGACAAACAUUUGUGUAUAUAUACACAAAUUAAACACUCAAACAAAAAGCGUUGAAAAAAAAACAUAAUGCUGUUUCGCUAAAUACUAAAUGCGUUACGAGAAAAUUUAUAUUAAUACACAAAAUUUCUAUAAAUAGAAGAACAAUUUUAAAGCAAACACAACCAUGUUUUCAACACAAAAACAAUUGAGUGUGUGUGUGUGUUUAUAUACGCGCAAAAAUGUUUUGUAUGUGUGCAAAGAACACUGUAUGACUCGAAAGGUGCUAUUUGUGCGGUUAUUCAUUUAGCUGUGCAAGUAGCAUUGGCGGUAACGCAAACAAGGCUCUGAGGAUCGAGUUGGUCGGGCUGUAUGCGAGAUACUUUCAUGAGUUUGUAUCUAUGCUGGACUUGUGUUUAAACCGAUUCUCGCAAGGGAAUUGGAAAAUAUUGGAUCGGCAUGGAUCGCUCGUUUGUUGAUCGCUACAGCUACGUUGGUGUUGUUUGAAUACAGGCAACUGUGUUUGGAUGGUAUCGUUUAAAAGCGUCAUCGGCUAACAACUAACGAUCGAAUCAGAACUCAAGCACUCGCAGAAAUGUGAAUCAGUUUCAUCUGGUAAAGCGAAUGAUUAGAGGCCUUGGGAGCGAAACGCUCUCAACCUAUUCUCAAACUUUAAAUGGGUGAGAUGCACGACGUACUUAACUGACGCCGUGUUUUUACAGAAUGUAUUGAGUGCUUAGUGGGCCAUUUUUGGUAAGCAGAACUGGCGAUGCGGGAUGAACCGAAAGUGAAGUUAAGGUUGCCGAUAAUGGUGCUAACAAUUUGUGCACUAGCUACACUCAUGAGAUCCCAUGAAAGGUGUAAGUUGCUAAAGACAGCAAGGACGUGGCCAUGGAAGUCGGAAGAUNAUCUAAGGAGUGUGUAACAACUCACUUGCCGAAGCAACUUGCCCUGAAAAUGGAAGCAGCUCGAGUGUUGAACCUAUACUUCACUCUAGUUAAGUAUCGAGUCGAUCGGUCUUGAUUAGGCCAGACAUCGGUUAGUUAGCUGAAAGGCAACGUUUCCGAAAUUUUAUAUACAAAUGACGGCAAAGUGAAAUCAAAUUAUAUGUGAUCUGAAGUCUAUAAAAACGGCUUACAGCGCAACAUAUGCCCAUUCGUAUGGUUAUACGCGCAAGUGUUAACUGGGUGGAGCAAAGAGAUACUUGACUGGUAUUCUCUCACUUGGCCGUACCCAUAUCCGCAGCAGGUCUCCAAGGUUAACAGCCUCUGGUCACUUAGGAUAAUGUAGGUAAGGGAAGUCGGCAAAACGGAUCCGUAACUUCGGGAUAAGGAUUGUGAAGAGACAUGAGAGGUGUAGCAUAGGUGGGAGAUGUGCACAUUCGUGUGUAUAUCGCAAGUGAAAUACCACUACUUUCAUUGUUUCUUUACUGA
rnacentral:rRNA from 1 species